AUUGAGGGGUCUAUUGUGUUAUAUCCUGUUUCUUCAAAAUAGUCUCUCUGUCCACGUUGUGUCAUUCCUGUUUGGUAAUUAUAUUGUGGAGGUAUAUAGACAGAACGAGCAGUUGAAGGUUUAUGAUACAGGGCUUGUUGACCUUGAAGUACUUUCAUUAGUUCAAUUUUUGUUUGAAGUCUGUUCUGCUCUGGUAUUUUAAGAAGCUCUUUGUGUAAUGAUAAACAAAAUAGUUUGUCAUCAUCAGACUCCGUUUGAUUUGAUGUAUGUGGCUGAUUUUUAGAUGCUAAAUUUGUUUUUAUGAUAGCGAGAAAUUCUUCGUCGGCCGCAUUUAGUUUUUUCUUCUUUUUUGCUUGACUCACUGGAGGUCUCAUUACAUCUUCCCCAUCGCCAGAUAAGUCUUCUUCUUCAGCUGCAGCAGGAGUGGUGUUAAUGUUGCUAUCAGUUGUUUUAUUGCGUGUCGAUCGUUCGAGGAACAUCAAACGUUCAAAAUAGAUAUAUUUGGUUUUGCCGGAGGCUCCUGAUCCAGACGGAGCGGUUUUCUUUUUCUUCAUUUCUCUUACAAAUCCAUCACGUAACCCUUUCCACUUCUUUUGCAAAAUAUUACCUGUAACCAGUAAUACAAUGAUUUAAUUAGUGUGGUAAAUAAAAUAUAAAUUAACUAAACGCAUUUUUUUUUCAGAUAUUUGGCUACAGGAUGUUAUUUUGCGGAUCUGCAUUAUGCCUACAGGUUGGGAAAGUCUACAGUUAUCGAAAUAGUACAGAAAACUUGUUACGUCAUAUGGCAUAAACUGAAAAAUAUCGUAAUGAAAGUACCUACGAAGGCUGAAUGGGAAGAGAUUUCUAAACAGUUUCAAAAAUACACAAAUUUUCCAAAUUGCAUCGGCGCCAUUGAUGGCAAGCAUAUCCGUAUUAUAAAACCUAAUGAUUCUGGGUCUCUUUUUUAUAAUUAUAAGAGUUAUUUUUCAACUGUUUUGGAUGGUUAUAGGUUUGACCACACUCUUUACGAAACAUCUCUAAUUCAUAUAAAUACUGAGGCAGUAAGGCCUAAUGCCAGAUCGCUGAACACAAGAGACAGAUUCGCUGAUUAUUUUGUUAACGAAGGCAAACUCCCUUGGCAAGAUAAAAUGAUAUAGUCAUAUUUUGUUUUACAACUUAUAAUUCAAAUAUGUCAUUAACAUAGUGACAAAUUAUCAGGAAAUCCUAUAAUAUGGAAACCAAAAAAAUGAUCGUUCUUCAGUAUACCUUUUUAGCCCCGUAUACUCUACGCUACUAGGUCGUACAAUUUAUUUAGUACCUAUGUAUGUAGUCUGGAAUAAUAUUAUUAAAUAAACUAUUUUUACUUACCUAUAGAUUUUUUCUUUUCUUCGGAAUCUCCAGCUUCACAAAAAAUCUCGACGAUUUCUUCCCAGUUCCUGCGUUUUAUGGUUCUAUUGGAAUAAUCUGAUGAUUCCAUAUUCCAUAUGGCUGCCCUUUUUUCAAUUUCAUCAAUAAAAAGUUCCGUAUCGAAGUUAUCACGCUCCAUCGUAAAUACGUCCACUCGCAACGGACUCGCGCGUAGUACUGGACGCAGCAAUGGCACCCGAGUAUCUCGACUCGCGCGUCGCUCGCGCGUUAAACGCGCGAGUCGAGAGUCCC